AACGAGCGCUGGCGGCAUGCCUAACACAUGCAAGUCGAACGAGACCUUCGGGUCUAGUGGCGCACGGGUGCGUAACGCGUGGGAAUCUGCCCUUGGGUUCGGAAUAACAGUUAGAAAUGACUGCUAAUACCGGAUGAUGUCUUCGGACCAAAGAUUUAUCGCCCAGGGAUGAGCCCGCGUAGGAUUAGCUAGUUGGUGGGGUAAAGGCCUACCAAGGCGACGAUCCUUAGCUGGUCUGAGAGGAUGAUCAGCCACACUGGGACUGAGACACGGCCCAGACUCCUACGGGAGGCAGCAGUGGGGAAUAUUGGACAAUGGCGAAAGCCUGAUCCAGCAAUGCCGCGUGAGUGAUGAAGGCCUUAGGGUUGUAAAGCUCUUUUACCCGGGAUGAUAAUGACAGUACCGGGAGAAUAAGCCCCGGCUAACUCCGUGCCAGCAGCCGCGGUAAU
rnacentral:rRNA from 1 species